rnacentral:rRNA from 1 species
UACAGAGGCCUCGAGCGUUGUUCGGAAUUACUGGGCGUAAAGCGCGCGUAGGCGGCUUUGUAAGUCAGAGGUGAAAGCCCGGAGCUCAACUUCGGAAUAGCCUUUGAGACUGCAUCGCUUGAAUCCGGGAGAGGUGAGUGGAAUUCCGAGUGUAGAGGUGAAAUUCGUAGAUAUUCGGAAGAACACCAGCGGCGAAGGCGGCUCACUGGACCGGUAUUGACGCUGAGGUGCGAAAGCGUGGGGAGCAAACAGG